rnacentral:misc_RNA from 1 species
GGAAGGAUCAUUGCCAAAACAAAAAAAAAAAAAACUUUGAAGAGAAAGAGGAAAAAGAAUGUUGGGGAGAGAGAGUGAAACAUGAUUUCAUUCAAUCUCUUUUUCUUCUCUUUCUUCUUCUCUCUUUGAAAUUCCCCAAACUUGUGUGCACUCUAAAAAUUUGAUGGAGGACUUUGUACCCUUGUACCCUCUCAAAAGGGGGGGGAGAGAUGAUAGAUGAUACUAUAAGAUGGAUAAAAAAUGAUGCUAUUUUGGGAGAAGGAGAAGCUCUAUAUAUAGUAAUAUAUUAAAAGUGGAGUCUUUUUCUAUAUAUAGUAACCAUUUCUAUCUUGUUAUAUGUGUAUAUAUCUUUUCUCUCUCUUUGGAAAGGACUUUGUAUUCCUUCAAAUUUUUUGUUUUUUAUAACAAACACCUUUUUGUCUUCAUUUAUUUUUUAUAGUUAUAUAACUGUAGGUAAUGAUACAGUUGUUUGUUGAUUUCUUUUUCUUUUUCUUUCAUGGUGUGUAUCUUGUGUUCUCCUUUCUCUUAUCUUUUUCUUUCUCUCGAUUGUUUUGAGACGAAGACAGUUGAGAAAAAGAUGUAGAUGAAAACAAAAGAGAAAAAGAAAAAGAUUCUACUCUAUGAAUAAAAAUGGAAAAAGAUGAUUGAUACACAGUCAUCACCCUAUGCAAAAAUUACAUUUAUACAACUUUUAACAAUGGAUCUCUUGGCUCUCGCAACGAUGAAGAACGCAGCGAAAUGCGAUACGUCAUGUGAAUUGCAUAACGUGAAUCAUUGAAUUUUCGAACGCAAAUGGCACCUUUGAUUUUAAUCGGAGGUAUGCCUGUUUGAGUAUCCGUUUUCUACCUGUCAAAAACCAUCAUCAAAAGGAAAAAAAAACAAGAUUUGACUCUAUUAUGUUAUGUAAUGGGGUUUUCUUGAAAUUUCUUUUGAUGUUUGGUCUUUUGGAGUUGAGUACUUCACAACAUUGUCUUUUUUAGAUUUUUUGUGGUACUUUGAUUAAAGAAUAGUUUAUUCUUUUUAAGAAAAUCAGUUAUCAAGAAAUUCAAAAGAAAUUUUCUCUUGGGAAGUUUUGUUGACUCUUUCUUUUUCUCGCUUUUCCUCCAUAUCACGGAGAAAAGCACCUUACUGAAAAAAAGCAGCUCCUUAAAAAGCAAAGGAAAAAAACCUAAUCAAUUUUUACUUUCCUUAAGUGUGGUGACGUGGGUAACACGAUAUUCACUUUGGAAAGAAGAUUAGGAUAAUGACACUUUGUGGAGUCAAGUUGCCAUGUGACACUAUAAAGAAGAAGAAGGACAGAAUGUCUGUCCUCUGAAAACUGUACAUGUCAUGUGACAAGGUCAAUUUAACUUUUUUUUUUCCUAUAAGAGAAAAAGUCAAACUUUCUUUUUUGAAUUCUCUUGGAUUCUCUUAAUUAUGUGAUAAAAGAAAAAAAAAAACAACUAUUAUAAGCGAGUUUUUGCUAAAAUGGGAAAAUGUGUGUGUUGAAAAACUCUCUUUAUGGGGGUUUAUAACCGCACACAUCUCAUAAAAAAAAAAAAAAGCAAAAAAUCUAUAUAUUAAAUUAUGUUAUCUCAUGGGAUCUCAAAUCAGGCAAGACUACCCGCUGAACUUAAGCAUAUUACUAAGCGGAGGAAAAGAAACUAACAAGGAUUCCCUCAGUAGCGGCGAGUGAAGUGGGAAAAGCUCAAAUUUAAAAUCUUUAAAUUUUCUUAAAAGGAUUUAAAGAGUUGUAAUCUAGAGAAGAUAGAAUCCUGUCAACCCAUUCGAGUAGAAGUUCUUUGGAACAAGACAUCGUAGAGGGUGAGAAUCCCGUCUGUGACUCGAAUGACCUAAUUAAAAAGAGUUGACUUUAUGGUGAUCUAUCUUCAAAGAGUCGGGUUGCUUGGGAAUGCAGCCCAAAAUGGGUGGUAAAUUUCAUCUAAAGCUAAAUAAUGGCGAGAGACCGAUAGCGAACAAGUACCGUGAGGGAAAGAUGAAAAGAACUUUGAAGAGAGAGUUAAAAGUACGUGAAAUUGUUAAAAGGGAAGCGAUUGAAACCAGUGCUGUGUCACUUGAAACAUCAAUGAAGUCAUGUUUAAUUGACGCUUAAGGAUUUCUUUAAUGAACUAUGAGUCUCAUAGGCAUUCUGAAGAAUUCUCAAACUUAUCAUGGCGGACAUCUUCAUGCACUGUUUUAAGGUUUUGUAAAAGAAUUUAGACAGGUCAACCUCAGUUUCUUUUUAUGGGAAAACUAUUUUAAGAAAGGUAACUUUGACUUUUUUAAAGUUAAAGAACUUAUAGUCUUUAAAUUGAAAUACUAUGAAAGAGACUGAUCCCCAAAUUAUGAAAUCAAAAGAAGUUCGAUUUUAACGUUCUAAUUUUGGAUUUGACGUUGUGGACAUUGCUUAUCCUUCGGGAUCAUGACCCAUGAUUAAAUCCUUAGUACACGAUUAAAGUUUUUUAUGAGUCAUUUGAUUUUCUCCAAGUGUUGACAAAAUGGUUUUAACCGACCCGUCUUGAAACACGGACCAAGGAGUCUAACAUUUAUGCGAGUAGUCGAGUGAUCAAACUCGAAUGCGUAAUGAAAGUGAACGUGGGUGGGAUCUUUUCAAAAGGAACGGGUAAACCGAGAAUUUGAAAGUGCACCAUCGACCGAUCGGAAUAUUUUGCAAAAAAUUGAACGAAUCGAGUUAGAGCAUAACUGUUGGGACCCGAAAGAUGGUGAACUAUGCCUGAGUAGGGUGAAGCCAGAGGAAACUCUGGUGGAGGCUCGUAGCGAUACUGACGUGCAAAUCGUUCGUCAAACUUGGGUAUAGGGGCGAAAGACUAAUCGAACCAUCUAGUAGCUGGUUCCCUC